UUUUGGACAAUGGGCGCAAGCCUGAUCCAGCAAUGCCGCGUGAGUGAAGAAGGCCUUCGGGUUGUAAAGCUCUUUUGUCAGGGAAGAAACGGUGAGCUCUAAUACAGUUUGCUAAUGACGGUACCUGAAGAAUAAGCACCGGCUAACUACGUGCCAGCAGCCGCGGUAAUACGUAGGGUGCAAGCGUUAAUCGGAAUUACUGGGCGUAAAGCGUGCACAGGCGGUUAUGUAAGUCAGAUGUGAAAUCCCCGGGCUCAACCUGGGAAUGGCAUUUGAGACUGCAUGGCUAGAGUGUGUCAGAGGGGGGUAGAAUUCCACGUGUAGCAGUGAAAUGCGUAGAGAUGUGGAGGAAUACCGAUGGCGAAGACAGCCCCCUGGGAUAACACUGACGCUCAGCACGAA
rnacentral:rRNA from 1 species